UAUAUUGUAUGUUAUGAGGCCAGGCUAACAAAUCCCCAACUGCAGUGACCUCGAAGAGUUAAUGUUUUUGGUAACCUAUCACACCAAGGGGGUGGAGUGUGUGUGGAUUUAAAAAACCUGUUUGAAAUGUGCACUGAUUAACACUUGAAAAAGAGCCACUAGCUCGAAACAUGUUGUGAAUAGAAAAACCUUGCAGCACAGUUUCUGCGGUUUUAUGUUCCUGUUUGUUCACAACCUUAAAGAUUUGGCAUGUGCUGGUAUUCUGCCUGUGCAAGCAUAGAGGAGGUAAGAAAGUACUCAUUCGCUAAGUUGUAGAUUACUGGGUGCAGUUUUGUUUCUGGAGGUUCUUUCUCCACUUGUAGCCCCUGUUCCGUUUUGACAACAGCGUUGUCAGGAAGGGGACCCUGUGCGGCUGGGUAUUGCUGCUGCUUUGCCUGUUGGUGUUCUUCGCCCCUGUAUGGAAAGCUGUUUGGCGCCAAUUUGGAUUUUCCUUGCUGCUGCCUACAGGUGCACUAUGAGGGAUCUGGCUGCAUCGAAAAGAGCCAAUCCAAACGCUGCCAAGGCUCAGGUCCUGUGGCGCAGUGCCUAAGGAGCCUGGUUUACGGCUGUAAAGCUUUGAGUUCAAAUUCUGGCUGUGAUCCUUGGAUGACUGCUUAAAAUGCAAGAUUCAAUUCAGGCAGAGUAGUCUAAAAUAUCCAAAAGAAUUCUGGAUGAGAGAAAAGUGGAAGAGCUGUAUCGUUUUUCAGGUGAGACGAAGAGGACCUGAUGGGAUUCUCCAGUGGCUAGGUUAGCUAAAAAGGUGGCUAUACCAUAGAUGACAUUUCAGCACUGAAAUAUCCAAGGAAUUAAAGAAAAGUUAUAUGUCUUCCGGGCGGCCUAUAAGCAUGCUGUAGCUCUGGUGGCAGCUACAAAGGCCCUUUCUAUAUGGCCAAAGAAUCUGGAACAGGCCAUUAAGGAUAAAGUUCCAGAAGGGGGAAAAAUUUAAUAAAUUAAAAAUUUUCGAAGGUCUGGAUGACUUCAGAAUACGCCUCUCUAGAUCUUGUCCAGCUGUCAGCUUGCUCUUUGAUAUUGAAGUCACAGCUCAGAGCCCUUUUGGUUAGAUCAUGGUUUGCAGAUACUGAUUCCAGGAAUUUCUUUGCAAGAUGGCUUUCUAAGGAAAGAGAUUAUUUGGGAAAGUCUUAGAUAACAUUGUCUUCAGGGGGAAGAGUACUUUUCUUUCCCAAGCAAGGCAAUUCCAUGACAGUUCCAGGAAUGUUUGUAUGCCUUCUCAAGAAGAAGGCAGGACUCCAGAAAUUUCCGAUCAGGAGAAUAAUUUAGAUCUUCAUCUUAACGCUCAUGACAAAGUUCUUUCAAGUCCAGAUUUAAAGUCCCAAGAUCUCCCAAACUUUCCCCAAAAGCUCUGUAGGGGUUGGUUGCUCACCUUUCAGGAGGUCUCAGUCAAAAAUAUUUAAGAUUCAUGGGUGGAAACUACUGUAUCUUUCAAUUAUUUGUUCAUACUACAAUUCCUCAAGACAUAGGGAAAAGGACAUUUCUUUUCCAGUGUUUCCAAAGUUGUUGAUAAGAAAGCAAUUCAGUGGUAUCAUCUCCUAUUAGCUACUGGAGACUUACGUCCAUAUAAGACCUUGAAGAAUAAAGAGAUUCCCGAAGAGCCAAACUUUUAAUGCAGACCCUUGCUACUAUGAAGGUCAUAGUUUGUCCAAGAGAUUGGAUAGCCUCUUAAAUUUUAAAAGACAUUUAUUUGCACAUGCCCAUCGUUUAGAACAUCACAGAUUUCUACAAUUUUGUCUCCAAGACCAACAUUAGCAAUUUUGCUGUCUUCCCUUUGACCUUUCUAUUUCUCCCAGGACUUUUACCUAAGUUCUUGUUGUGAUAAUAGCCAAGCUAAAAUGCAGGAGAACAUAGAAAUCUACCAUUACCUGGAUGAUUUACGUAGGGGUGAGAGAUCCAGCCACAUUAUCAUCCAAUUUUAUAAAAACCCAGGAGGUUUUAGAGAAGUUUAGCUGGAUCUUAAAGGUAGCCAAAAGUCAGAUGAUACCAUCCCAGAAAAUGGCAUACCUUGGAGCUCAAAUUGACACCAUUUUGGUGAAAAAUAAAUUCUUAUUGUCCUUCAGGUGACGCAAUUUUGGGAGAGAUCAUUCACAUCUGCAAAGAAAUUUGUGAGCCUUCUGAUUUCAACUUUAAACAUGGUGAAAUGGACCAAAUGGAGGAAAAGGCCUAUUCAGUUAUUUUUUUCAGGCAGUAGGAUCCUAAUGCUUGAAAUUGGUCACAUGCAAUUCAAAUCAACACAGAGUGCAAGAGACAUUUAGCCUGGUGGAAAAUACCCAGCAAUCUCUGCAAGGGGUUUCCCCUCGGGAAACCAGCUUGGAUAGAAGUGGUACAGGUAGAAAACCUUUCCGAGAUACUGACCAAUAUCCUGGAGCUCAGGGUGGUUCUCCUAGGGUCUGCAGUGAAGAUCAGAAAAUGCAGCAGCUGCAGCUUAUUUUAGAAAUCAAGGGGGACAAAGAGCAUGACAUUGCUCAGAGAGACUGUCCCAAUCAUGGAAUGACCUUAGAUACACCUUCAAGAUUUAACUGCUCUGUACAUUGCAGGAGCCCAAUAUCUUAAAGAUUAUCUCAGACAUCAUCACCUACACAAUGGGGAAUGGGAGUUAAAUCAGAAGAUCUUUCACUAGAUAACAUUUAUUUGGGGCUGUCCGGAGGUGGAUAUGAUGGCGACAAAUCUGAAAUCCAAGAUUCUGAUCUUCCUCUUCAGAGUCCCUUGUGUGGAACUGUGGCAGUGGAUGCUCUCUGCCAGAGUUGGGAGGGUCUGUUUGCUUACAUCUUUCCUCCAGUACAGAUAACACUGCGAUUCCUGCAAAGCAUCUUAUUGUCGAGGAUGGAGGUUAUUGCCAUUCUUCCCGAUUGGCCCAGGAGACCAUAGUAUGUACUCCUGAGAAGCCUGUCAAUUGUGUCCGUUACCACUUUCACAAACCAGAGGUCUCUUUCUCUGGGCAGUUUGAAGCAUCCAAACCAAAUCAACCUCAAACUGAUGGUGUGGAGGUUGAGAGGAGGAUCAAACCCUUUUCAACGCCAGGAAAUGCAACACAAACUUUAAAUAUUAUAAAGCAUGGCAGAUAUUAUCUUCCUGGGCUGUCGAGAUACAUCUUAAUCCUUAACACCAUUCAUGGUUGAAAUCCUGAAGUUUCUUAAGGAGGGCUACAAAAAGGUCUGAGUCUCAGCACUCUAAAGGACCAGGUCUUUGCAUUGUCGGUGAUUUUGGAGAAGAGGUGAUCGAGAGAUUCAUUAAUAGAUAAAUUCUUCCAAUCAAUACUUAAAAAUAGACCUAAACUCGAUUAGGUCUAUUUGUCCAACCUGGGGUCUUCCUCUUGAUCUGAGAUCCCUCUCUACUGCACCACUAAAUGUUUAGAUCAAGUUCUUUGUGGUUGAAAACUUUUUUUGGGUGGCCUUACAUCAACCAUAUAAAGGGCUUAUAAAUAGCAGGGCAACUAUUUGCCAUAGGGAGUAAGAUGCAUUUGACACUGGUUGUGGCAGCCUCCUGGGCAUCAGAGGCAGAAGUGUCUUCAAAAUUUUAUAAAUAUUAACUUAAUCUGCCAUUAACUUCUGUCCCUCAUGGUCUCAAACCUGAGAAAUGUUUAGUCUAGUUCAGGGCGGAAAUAGGGGUAGACACAUGAGGUGUCUUGGUUUCAUUACUACAGGUGCUAUAGUUCUGUGGAUCUGACAUGCACCUUCAUGUUCACAUCUACAGGUUGUACCUCAUGUUUUACUUUGAACAGCCUCACCUUUCUGUAGCAGCAUGCUGAUUUAUAUAGUUCCACCACAAUAUUUACUUUGAACACAUACAGUUACACUGUUCACUUAGCUGGAGUGAAUAUGCAGUUAUGCAUAUGAACAGCAUAGUUCUGCAGUAUAUGGAACUCUCUGCUCUAAUUCUUUUAAGAGUAAGAGGAAUUGAUAUAGCUCAUCAGAGUACUGGAGUGUUUUCUGAUCAUAGAUUUUUAGUGAAGCAGUAUUCAGUUGUAUGAAAUUAAAUCAAAUG